CUACGGGAGGCUCCAGUGAGGAAUAUUGCACAAUGGGGGGAACCCUGAUGCAGCAACGCCGCGUGGAGGAUGACGCAUUUCGGUGUGUAAACUCCUUUUAUAUGUCAAGAAAAUGACGGUAGCAUAUGAAUAAGCACCGGCUAACUCCGUGCCAGCAGCCGCGGUAAUACGGAGGGUGCAAGCGUUACUCGGAAUCACUGGGCGUAAAGGACGCGUAGGCGGGUUGGAAAGUCAGGUGUGAAAUCCUACAGCUUAACUGGAGAACUGCACUUGAAACUUCUAAUCUAGAGUAUGGGAGGGUGAUAUGGAAUUAGUGGUGUAGGGGUAAAAUCCGUAGAUAUCACUAGGAAUACCUAAAGCGAAGGCGAUCUCCUGGAACAUUACUGACGCUAAGGCGUGAAAGCGUGGGGAGCAAACAGGAUUAGAUACCCGUGUAGUC
rnacentral:rRNA from 1 species